UAAAUUCUAUAUUUCUUUUCCAGCUGACAGCCCGGUUAGCUUUCCUAGCAUUAGGGUUAUAUAUCAAGUUCCAGAAGCAUACCUAUAUCAAUCUGCUAGGGAACAGUACUUUCCCUUUGGCAACAUACUUGCUACUAGGAACAGGAGCCUUUAUUAUCUUGUCAGGAAUCAUUAGUUGUUAACUGGGACAUGUAUAGAAAAUAGAUAUUUUAUGGUUAUGGUUGGAAGAGACUGAUGAACUAUACAUAUCUGGGAUACAGAAUCAAUGAAACAUCGUCAGUACUGAAAGGUCAACAUCAAAGAGGGGUCUGUGCUGUAGACUUCUCAGGUAGUGGUAAAGUUUGGCAUCAUUUGGUUUGGAUGACAACCAUCUUAUUGUAGUUUGAGACUGGAGAAAGGGAGAGAAAUUAACAUCUACCAGAUAAAAGAAGCCAUGCAUGUAUACAGACAACAUUUUGUAAAGAAGUCAUUGUCACAGGCUCAGGAAUGGCUUUUAUAAUUACAAAGAAGGAUUCUCAGAUUCUUUGGAGGAGUUAUAAGGCUACUGGUGCAGUGUAAGGUGACUUAAGAGACGUACCAAUAAAGAUGUGCAUAUUGGUUUAAUUUUGAAUGAACAAUAGGAAUUUGAGUUAUAUGCUGAGUUACAAACUGCCACAGUAACAUUGAUAACUUGGUGGCACAUGAGGUGUUUUUAGAUUUUAGUAUAUGCCACAGUGCAUGAACUUUUACAGUAAAAUACAUAGUUUAGUGUAUUAUUGACAUAAUAACAUGUGUGCCUUAAAUGGAGUACAAAUGUAUAUAGUAUGGUGAUGGAACAGUUUCCUGCACGUGUACAAAAGUGAAUUGACAUUAAGUUACUUUAAAGCUACAAGUUUUUUAAUUGAGCACCCAGCUGGGAUAACAUCCUUAGCUGAUAUUGGAUAAGACCAACUGCCGUUGCGUUGUAAAUUGGUGGUGGAUACGCCAAGCUGUGUUGAUAUCCUUUAUACCAGUAUCUUGAACAAUUGUUUAUAGGCGAAUUAAUACUGGUUUGUGCACCGAUUAUAUUCACUGUAAAUUAUUCUUGCACAUGCACACAGUUGCUUACAGUAAUCUGUUGCUUACCCGUUGUAGUGUUUCACUUUUUAGCUCACCGGGGCCCGAAGGUCCCCAUGUGAGCUUAUGCCAUCACUUGGCGUCCGUCGUCGUCCGUCGUCUGUCUUCGUCGUCGUAAACUAUUUCAAAAAUCUUCUCCUCUGAAACUACUGGGCCAAAUACCUUCAAACUUUAACUAAAUGUUCCUUAUGGUAUCUAGUUUAUAAAUUGUAUCCGAAGUUUUGAUCCAUCGACAAACAUGGCCGCCAUUGCUAAAAAUAGAACAUAGGGGUCAAAUGCAGUUUUUGGCUUAUAUCUCAAAAACUAAAGCUUUUAGAGCAAAUCUGACAUGGAGUAGAAUUGGUCAAUUGGUCAAGAUCUAAUGGCCUUGAAAUUAUCAGAUGAAUCAAAUAACCCAUUGUUGGGUUGCUGCCACCGAAUUGGUAGUUUUAACAAAAUUUUGCAGUUUUUUGUUAUUAUUUUGAAUAUUAUUAUAGAUAUAUAUAAACUGUAAGCAGCAAUAAUGUUCAGCAAAGUAAGAUCUACAAAAAAGUUAAUAUGACCGAAAUUGUCAAUUGACCCCUUAAGGAGCUAUUGCACUUUAAAGACAAUUUUACACAAUUUGUUCAUCAAGUUUGCUAACAUUUAAAAAUCUUCUUCUCUGAAACUAUUGGGGCAAUUACCUUCAAACUUUAACUAAAUGUUCCUUAUGGUAUCUUGUUUAUAAAUUGUAUCCGAAGUUUGUAUUCAUUGACAAACAUGGCCGCCAUGGCUAAAAAUAGAACAUAAGGGUCAAAUGCAGUUUUUGGCUUAUAUCUCAAAAACUAAAUCUUUUAGAGCAAAUGUGACAUGGGGUAAAAUUGUUUAAUUGGUCAAGAUCAAUCGGCCUUGAAAUUAUCAGACAAAUCGAACAACCCAUUGUUGGGUUGCUGCCACCGAAUUGGUAGUUUUAACAAAAUUUUGCAGUUUUUUAUUAUUUUGAAUAUUAUUAUAGAUAUGUAUAUAAACUGUAAGCAGCAAUAAUGUUCAGCAAAGUAAGAUCUACAAAAAAGUUAAUAUGACCAAAAUUGUCAAUUG